AAAUAACUCUCGGCAACGGAUAUCUUGGCUCUUGCAUCGAUGAAGAACGUAGCGAAAUGCGAUACUUGGUGUGAAUUGCAGAAUCCCGUGAACCAUCGAGUCUUUGAACGCAAGUUGCGCCCAAAGCCAUUAGGCUAAAGGCACGUUUGCUUGGGCGUCA
rnacentral:rRNA from 1 species